UAUAAUAUUGGUCCUUUCAGAGUAAAACGUUAUAUAGAUAUAUAUAUAUAUAUAUAUAUAUAUAUAUAUAUAUAUAUAUAUAUAUAAAAACGUUUUACUCUGAAAGGACCAAUAUUAUA